UUUAGCCCACGAAGCUGAAGUCCUCUGUCCACUGAAUAAAUACAGAAUGGGCUGCAGCCAUGCAAGCUCCCCCACAAUGUCCUGCCAAUAUACAUGCUUCAUGACCUGACAGGAUCUUCUGGUAAUGAGGAGAACAUACAUUAGAUAGGAACUUCAGUGUUUGAGUGGAUAUGAAGACUGAACUAUC
rnacentral:sRNA from 1 species